rnacentral:lncRNA from 1 species
AUCUAUUGAAAUUAAUUUAAUAAUAAAUUAUUAAACGAAUUAGAUCGUUUUAAUCAAUUAAUUUGACCUUAUCCGAAUUACAAACACAAGGGCACUGAAGAAAGACGUAGCCAGAGAGUCCAAGUCAUAAUGAUUGACUUUGGAGGCACUGAUGAUUAAGUCCCUGCAAACUUAGACCGAGUCAAAGCCUAUUGUGUCCUUUUGGCCAUGACAGAACACGAUACUUAACUAAACUGUGGUGGCCUUGUCACGCGCGGAAUCCCAUAAAACC